UACGGAGGGUGCGAGCGUUGUCCGGAAUCACUGGGCGUAAAGGGCGCGUAGGCGGCGCGAGUAGUCAACGGUGAAAGCCCGGGGCUCAACCCCGGGUCGGCCGUCGAUACUCUCGUGCUUGAGCACUGUAGAGGCAGGUGGAAUUCCGGGUGUAGCGGUGGAAUGCGUAGAGAUCCGGAAGAACACCGGUGGCGCAGGCGGCCUGCUGGGCAGUUUUGCUGACACUGAGGCGCGAAAGCGUGGGGAGCAAACAGG
rnacentral:rRNA from 1 species